rnacentral:lncRNA from 1 species
GUUCCCAGGCGGGAUGGAAAAGUGACUUGCCCUUUGCUGUGGGCUGUCCCCCUGGUUCUAGGCCAAAGCAAGCAGCCUGUGGGCCAGGGAGGAGAAGCAGGCCGUGAGUAGAGCUGCCGUCUUCUUGGGCACGGAAAGCAACAAAGCUGCCAAGGCAAAAAGACCAGUUUUCCAAGAAGCUGGAGGAGUGCCAACAUCAUUCUCCGAUGAACAAACUUGGAAACCAAAGAAUUAGUCAACGAAGCUGGAGGCUCGCCUACAGAAUGCUUGGCAUGGCACAGGCUGCUCCGGAGGGCAAGGAGAAGGACCGCCAGACAGCCAAGGCGCAAGGGGUAUA